UACAGAGGUCCCAAGCGUUGUUCGGAUUCACUGGGCGUAAAGGGUGCGUAGGUGGUGAGGUAAGUCGGAUGUGAAAGCUCGGAGCUCAACUCCGAAAUGGCAUUGGGAACUACCUUGCUCGAGGGUUGGAGGGGGGACUGGAAUGCUUGGUGUAGCAGUGAAAUGCGUAGAUAUCAAGCGGAACACCAGUGGCGAAGGCGAGUCCCUGGACAACUCCUGACACUGAGGCACGAAAGCUAGGGGAGCAAACAGG
rnacentral:rRNA from 1 species